UUAGUUAAGUGAAUAAGGGCGCACGGUGGAUGCCUUGGCACUAGGAGCCGAUGAAGGACGGGACUAACACCGAUAUGCCUCGGGGAGUUGUAAGUAAACUUAGAUCCGAGGAUUUCCGAAUGGGGAAACCCACUGUUCGUAAUGGAACAGGACUUAUGUCUGAAUACAUAGGGCAUAAGAGGCACACCCAGGGAACUGAAACAUCUCAGUACCUGGAGGAAGAGAAAGCAAAUGCGAUUUCCCAAGUAGCGGCGAGCGAAACGGAAACAGCCCAAACCAGAGAGCUUGCUCUCUGGGGUUGUAGGACACUCCACAAGGAGUUACAAAGAAAUUCUUUAGAUGAAUCAACCUGGAAAGGUUAGCCAAAGAGGGUAACAGCCCUGUAAUCGAAAAAGAAUUUCCUCCGGAGUGGAUCCUGAGUACGGCGGAACACGUGGAAUUCCGUCGGAAUCCGGGAGGACCAUCUCCCAAGGCUAAAUACUC
rnacentral:rRNA from 1 species